UUAAUUAAAACCAAAAAGAGGUAUAUUAUUGUUAAUAAUAUCAUUAGAAUAAUUCUUAAUUAAA
rnacentral:tRNA from 1 species